rnacentral:lncRNA from 1 species
UUUAUAUGUAAUUCAUUUUAUGUAACCAUUUUAUUUGAUAUUGAAAACAACGUUCAUUUCAUAAAGAUCACAAUAUUCAAUUACAACAAUUUAAACAACAAAUAAACAACAAUUUAAACAUCAACUAAACAAUAAGACAAACAAAUAAAACGACUAAAUAACAUAUUUAUGUGAUUACAACUAUCUGGACAAUUUCCUCUGAUCUAUGCAUCAUAAUAUGACAACCAGUGUCAGUUUUAACUGACUCCCAUAAAUGACUUUCUCCAUUGUUGUUGUACACCGUAACAAACCUUUGAAUUAUUUUGAUCUUUUCACCGUCUACAAUGUCUCCAUCUAACCAACAAAUCAAGCUCCUCUGAAGAUGCUCGAAAGAGUCCGUGCUCUAGAGUCAGAUCUUCAUCGAAGACUUUACUGCUGAAUAAAUCAAAUUUGCAUUUCUCUUGAUAAUAUAGCACAACAUUUUGAAGAAAAAUUAAAAGAGAGAAUUAGAAGAUGGAUGGAAAUGGUGGGGAGAGAAUGAACUAUAUAUUAAAAAAAAAACACAACACAAUAGUCAUUGGCUAUGACGCAGGAUGCAUGCAUGCGCCAUAGACAAUUGCAUGACAUGAAUGCAUGCGCAAUACCCUAUAACGCCUUAAUUCAAAAUAUAACUGCAUAUCUAUGGCACCUCCUCUUGUUGGUGAAUUUUUUAAAAUGAAACGUGAUAACUUUGAUAUUUUCUAAAAGAAAUAUGAUUAUUUUGAAUUUAAAAAAAACAUAAUUAUUUAAAAGAAAUUCUAAUUUACCAUUUGAGCCAUAGUUCAAAAUAUGAAGUAUAAAGAUAAAUGAGAUAAAUAUUUUUCAUAAAAACAUAUGAAAAUAAAGGUAAAAUCUUUUUCACUAAUAUAUAAAAGAUACGAGAUAAAUAUUUGAACGACAAAAAUAAACUUGCUUCAAAUUUACAAAAUAUAAUUUUAACAAUAAAAUAUUUAUUUUAAUAUAAGAGAAGAGGAAGUGAUGUAUUUCAAAGUUAACUAAAAAAAAAAUAUUUUAAUCAAAUAUAUUUUUCAUCUUAUAUUUUGUUUGAACUUAACAUGCAAUGGAAUUUACCUAGUUAUCUGAUGUAAAUAAAUCUUGAGUAGUUAACUUCAGUUAAUUUUUCAACUGACAUAAAUUUCUUUAGUCUAUUGAUGUCAUCUAUGAUUAUACAAAAUGACAAACUUAUUAUAAUUGCUAGAAUGAAAACUUUGCAAGAUGAGAGAACAAAACUUAGUUACUCUACAAUUAAUUAUCAACCAACUACUUAUAAAUACACACAACCAUUACAGAAUGCUCCUUAAUCAUGCCAAACGGCAAGACCAAAUUCAGUUAAUCUUUUCAUUGAUAAUUUAACAGUCCUAUCCUAUGUGAACCUUUUAAGACAACAACAUUAAUAUAUUGCAUCUACCAUAAAAGACAAUAGGACAAUAACAUGAAAACAAAAUCUACAUUUCUAAACUAUUUCGGUCAUUAUAAUCAACCAGCCAACCCCCAUUUGUUGUGUAAUAAAUUAACGAUUUAAAUUCAUUACUAAUAGCCAAAUGUUGCUUUUAACACUGAAACUUAUAUUAAUAAUAUA